ACUUUGUUGUAAUUUCUAUCUCCAACUUUCAGAAUUAUUGCAAUUAAAUCAUAAUAACUUAAUUUAAUUGACGAAAUAUUGAUGUAUCGCUAAGGUAUAAGUGUUGCAACAGUGUUAUGAUUAAUUGAUAAUGCACCAAUAAAUGAGAUGUAACAUCACUUUUAUAUAGGCGAUGCAUUAAUAAGUAGUCGACUAAAUUAGAUUGUGAAAUUUGAUUGUAAUAAUUCUAGAAGUUUCCACCAAAUUUACCAUAAAUUAAAGCUUGAGGACUAAACUGUCACCCAACUU
rnacentral:lncRNA from 1 species